AUGAUUUUAUUGUCAUUUUUAGUUAUAUACAGUAGCAGAAACUUCCACAGCCUACUGUAAUACUUUUUAUAAAACUUCUGGAUUCCUCCUGCGUAGGUUUUUGGUUUUUGUUCACUCGAACUAGCUAACGUUUCGCAAAUCACCCUGUUGGCUUCUUCAGAGCUUAAGUGAAACUGCUUGAGUCUCAGUUAAGCUCUUAAGAAACGUCAGCAAGUUGGACUCAACAACAACCGACGCAUUAGGAAUACAGAAGUGUUGUAGAUAGUAAAUAAAUACUUGUUAAUAAAACUUAAAAGUCACCUUACCUUUUGAACGCAACUCGAAGAAGAAAAUUAAGAUGUUUUUAUUUUGGUCCUUCGCGGGGCCGAUGCUGUCGUCCUAGAAGUUAAUUGAAGCCAACUCGACAAUGUCCGACAGGAAAAUUGCAGGAGAACAUGGAAUCGCAUAAUACCGAAUUGCAGGCGGAUUGCGUAUGACGCCCAACCGCUGGUCGAAUGGCGAAUUAGGAGACACGCAAGCAGACGUGGUAUUGCUUGGAAAAUUGAAGACUGAUACAAAUUUCUUGUUGGAAGAAACACCCAGAGAGCCAUCAAUGUUUUUGAAGCAGCCUUCUGUCAAGCAGUUGUGCUGGUCUGAACAACCCUCUUCGGUCCGGUUCAGCUUCGCUUUUCAGGCCAGCAGGAAAGCGG